rnacentral:tRNA from 1 species
GCCGGGGUGGCGGAAUUGGUAGACGCGCUGGACUCAGGAUCCAGUGGGAAUUUAACUCCCGUGUGGGUUCGAGUCCCACCCCCGGCACCA